rnacentral:rRNA from 1 species
UGCCAGCCGCGCGGUAAUACAGAGGUCCCAAGCGUUGUUCGGAAUUACUGGGCGUAAAGCGCGCGUAGGCGGCUUUGUAAGUUAGAGGUGAAAGCCCGAAGCUCAACUUCGGAAUUGCCUUUAAGACUGCAUCGCUAGAAUCAUGGAGAGGUUAGUGGAAUUCCGAGUGUAGAGGUGAAAUUCGUAGAUAUUCGGAAGAACACCAGUGGCGAAGGCGACUAACUGGACAUGUAUUGACGCUGAGGUGCGAAAGCGUGGGGAGCAAACAGG